rnacentral:rRNA from 1 species
UACGUAGGCAGCGAGCGUUGUUCGGAGUUACUGGGCGUAAAGAGUGCGUAGGCGGUUUCGUAAGUCUGGUGUGAAAUCUCCCGGCUUAACUGGGAGGGUGCGCCGGAAACUGCGAGGCUGGAGUGUGGGAGAGGCAAGCGGAAUUCCUGGUGUAGCGGUGAAAUGCGUAGAUAUCAGGAGGAACACCUGCGGUGUAGACGGCUUGCUGGACCACUACUGACGCUGAGGCACGAAAGCGUGGGGAGCAAACAGG